UACGAAGGGGGCUAGCGUUGUUCGGAAUUACUGGGCGUAAAGCGUAUGUAGGCGGAUCGUUAAGUCGGGGGUGAAAUCCCGAGGCUCAACCUCGGAACUGCCUUCGAUACUGGCGAUCUUCGAGUCCGGGAGAGGUGAGUGGAACUCCGAGUGUAGAGGUGAAAUUCGUAGAUAUUCGGAAGAACACCAGUGGCGAAGGCGGCUCACUGGCCCCGGUACUG
rnacentral:rRNA from 1 species